AUUUCACUGGCAACUUUGAGAUAAUAGUUGGCUGACAUGAAUCUGCCACUUGCUUUUUUCAAGGCUUUUAAGACUCUAUGGCACAAAGAGGCACUACAGAAAAUCCCAGAAUUUAUUCCGACUGAAGCAAUAUGCAACUGGCAAAACUGGCAGCUGAAAGGAUCCUGAAUCAGAAGGUAGUGUGACCAUCAACAUUUCUCCAGCUUACCUUACUAGCUCAAUGUUACACUCUGAGAAU
ensembl:lincRNA